CAUUCUCAUCAGAUCACUGAAGUUAAGCAGCAAUGAGCCUGCUUAGUACUUAAAUGGGUGACCACUUAGGAGC